GACGAGGGAUCCUAGCGUUGUUCGGAAUCAUUGGGCGUAAAGCGGGUGCAGGUGGCUAUGUAAGUCAGGUGUGAAAGCCUGGGGCUCAACCCCAGAAGUGCAUUUGAUACUGCGUAGCUUGAGUGGUAGAGAGGAUAGUAGAAUUCUUGGUGUAGUGGUGAAAUACGUAGAUAUCAAGAGGAAUACCGGUGGCGAAGGCGGCUAUCUGGCUACACACUGACACUCAGACCCGAAAGUGCGGGGAUCAAACAGG
rnacentral:rRNA from 1 species